rnacentral:rRNA from 1 species
AAACCAGCACCUCAAGUGGUCAGGAGAAUUAUUGGGCCUAAAGCAUCCGUAGCCUGCUUUGUAAGUUUUCGGUUAAAUCCAUAUGCUCAACAUAUGGGCUGCCGGGAAUACUGCACAGCUAGGGAGUGGGAGAGGUAGACGGUACUCGGUAGGUAGGGAUAAAAUCCUUUGAUCUAUUGAUGACCACCUGUGGCGAAGGCGGUCUACCAGAACACGUUCGACGGUGAGGGAUGAAAGCUGGGGGAGCAAACCGGAUUAGAAACCCCGGUAGUCC